CCUCCUGGUCCAGUAAAGAUGACUACUCCGGAGCUCAUCGUUCAAGGAGGAGCGACCUCACUUGAACCAAACAAAUGUGAGUAUGAUCUGAUCCUCCUUUAGAGGAUUCAACAAUAGACAAUGUCACACUUUAACUCUAACUAGCUCUUGAUGCUAGUUUCAUAAUUCCAAUGUCGAUGCUAACCAAAUCUCUAGUCAUAUGUCACCAAGUUCACUAUUAUUAUAGUCCAUACAUUCAUAGGGUUCUAUGUCCACAUUCUAAGGUUCACAAGUUCCUACUGUCGAUAGAAAUUCACAUUUUCACUUGCACAAUGCCAAUUACCCUAUAAUGCAUGACUAAACAAUUAUAAAUAUGCUCAAUGAAAUAUAAUAGACAUAAAAGGUGAUUCAAAGACUUCGGAUAGCACCACCCACCUGUAGGGAUGCUAACAAUUAGAACUCACGUCUCGGGCUGAAUCCACGAAGGUAUCACCCGACUAGAUGCAAAUAGAGCCCAAAUGGCUUCUAUCGUAGACAGCGCGUCGUCAACCUGUCGGAAGUCCAUUUAGACUUUCGGGUAUGAAUAACUUUUAUAUGUACAGUAACGGAAGAAAUUAAACUAGAGUCCUCGCUCAUAUUCUACAAGUUGGCAUUUCCAAACUAUAGAAUGUUGAUCAAAGUUGAUUUCAGCACUAAACUGAAUUCUAGGCCAUGCUGAAUUUUCAGCAUUAUAUCUCUUCUUCGAAUAACUAUUUAACCUCGAAGCUCAGCUGAGCUAUGAUCAAUUUCCAUGCUAAGUUAAUGUUGAAAUCAACUUCUUUUACCAUCAUUUCAGCAUAUACCAAUUAGCUCACUCUUAGUUCCAAUACUUAACAGAUUUCUAUAUUGAAAUCUGCUUCUUAUCAGCUCUAGACAGCAUAUAGUUCUCAACUUAAUUCAUUUUAAGUAAUUAGUUGGACUAUAAUCCAAUAAGGAAUAAACUUACUCUAACUUGCUGCUGAAUCAACUUGUUCCACGCAUCAAUUGGCCUUCUCUUCACUUCGGCCAGCAAUGACAACAAGACUUCAGCUCCGAUAGCCUAAAGUCUUAAGUUUGCUACUCCUUGACUAUGAAGUGCUCUCAGCUUCACACAGCUCCAAUUAACACUCCUCAGCUUCACACAGCUGAUCCCUGGAUUCGAGUAGGCUCCAACAACCAAACUUCGGCUUCAAUCUGAAAUUCCAGCAGCAAAUACUCAUUCCUUCUAAUAAUUCAGUCUCUACUUAAAUUCUUGCAUAUAGACAUACUACAUGUAACUCGUUUCUAAGGUAAGGAGCUUCAUAAUAAUCUAAUAUGGACCUAACUUACCUCAAUUCCAAACUCUCUCAGCUGAUUUCACAAACUUGGCAGCACUAACAAGCGCCCACGUCACUUCGGCCCCUAGCAGCAGCUCAAAAACAUAUAAGUAUUACCUCCAAGGUAAUUUCCUUAAUUCUAAUCAAAUAUUAGACUAAGAAUACCUCAACCAGAUGUUGAAUUUGCUUGCUCCCUGCAUCGAAUGGCCCAUUCCUGCAUUUCGGAUCAGCAGGCUUCAACUUCAGCAACUUUCUAUUCCUAGCAGUCAACAUCCUUUGGUAACUCCUCUUGAAGGUAAGUAACUUGGGUAGAAUCAAAUAUCAACUGAGACUUACCUUAAUUUAGAAACUUCUUCUAAUUAAUUCCAGCUGUAAAAGCCUUCCCUGCUGUCCCCAACAGCAAGAAACACUCAACUUCAAUCAACUCAAGAACACCUAAGCUGUCAGCUACAUAAGGACUAUAUAAGUAUCCUCUCUACAUGAUUAACUGAGCUAGAAAGAAGUACUAGUCAUAUUUACCUUGAUUAGAUGCCUUCUAAGUCUUGUAGUAACUUCAAUCAGCAAAAGUUUCUUGCUGGAAUCAAGUUUUCUUCUCAGCUCACAAAUCAUUCAAGCUGUUACUUCAACUUCUCCUUUUCUUAGCUUAGACAGAGAGAAGGAGCAGAGAAAAAAAUGAUAAGUAUGAAGGGAAAUGAACUCUCUGCCCCUGGACAUGUGUAUUCCACUCAGGGGAAAGGGAUAAGAGUGAAAAUUUGCACUUUAACCCUUUAAUUUCCAAAAACUGCAUUGCAGUCCAGGGUAGCCGCAAUUCUGUACCGGUACAGAUUCUUGUACCGGUACAAGAUGGCAGCAGCAGCAUCAGCAGCAGCAGCAUCAGCAGCUGCUUCACCCCCUCCUUCCUCUAAUCCAAUUCAUUCUAAUCUCAUUCAAACACCUCAAAAACAUUCCAAAUGAGCUUCUCAAGCUACCCAAUUAAUUUGGAAGCAUUAAAUUCUCCAUUUAACAUUAACUUGAUCAUUUUUUAUCAAGUUAACUCAAUAUUUCAGCAGCAGGUGUUCAAUCUCUUGUUUCUCUCAUGUAAUUCACUUGGAUCUUAUUCGGACACAUCCAAAAUCAUCCAAAGAAGCUUUCCAAGCCAUCAAGUUCAUUUGGAAGCAAUUCACAUCAAAUUUGGCAUCAAUUGGACCAUUUUUGACUAAUUGACCCAAAUUUUCAGCAUUAAGUAGGGUACUGUAAUGUGCUGCGGUCCGGCGGCCACGGCCCACAUUUUGCCCGGGGCGAAACGGGCCGCGGCCAGCCCGGCACGGCCCGGCUCCAAAAUCGGGCGUGCGUGCCGGCCAGACGUUUUGGACGCCGGCCUACGCGGGCCCCCCGGCCCGACCUGCACGGGGCCGUGCCGGCCCCGGGCACGGGCUUCGGCGCCAGCAGCUUUUUUAUUUUUAUUAAUUUUAUUUAUAAAUAUUUAAAUUCUUUUUAAAAAUAAAAUAAGAAUAUUAAUUUUUUAAAAAUAAAUAUCAGUACAAAAUUAAAAUUUAAAUCUAUUUAUAAAAUAUUAAACUUUUAAAUUAUUUUCACUUUUAAAAAUUUGGACCAAAAUACCCUCCCAAGCAGUCAAAUUCUUUAACUGUUUGGGAACGGGAAAAAAAACAAACCCCAUUUUUUAGUCCAAGCCCACUCCCAAUGCCACAGCCCAACUCUUUGACUUGUUGGGAGUCCCAAAGCCACAACCGCGCAUGGGAUUGGAGCUCCCAAGCAUUGGAGUUGUGCGCCUUGGAGUUGGAUGUACGCCAACUCCGCAAGGCCCUGCGACUCUGCUGGGCCCGGCUCGGAGGAGCCUGGCCACGGGCCGGCCUGCCGGCCGGGCCGGGCUGGACAGUCUAGGCCCGCACGGCCCAGGCGCUAUGUCGUGGCCGGCCGUGCCGGGCCAUCGGGCGCGGGGAGCAAGCCCAGCACGGCCUGAUAAACCUGGCGCGCCGGGCCGCAGCGGCACGUUACAGUACUCUUGCCGUGGCCUGGCCCGGCCACUCUCCGUGCCGGGCCGGGCGGCCGCGGCCGCCCGCCCGUUUGACACCCUAGAUUAAGGUAACUUGACAGUUGGACUUCUUUUGCCACUUCGAUCCAUUCUUAUUAUUCCCACACUUCAAAAUAUGUCAACAACUGAUACAUCGAUGAACUGCUAAUUAAAGUUUAAAUAGGCUUAAUUUGCAUUUUAGCAUUAUUGUGACCAUUUGAUCACAAUUAGCUCGAGAUAAAUUCUCAAUGCAUUUACAAUAAUAUAUAUAUAUAUAUGAUAUAUAUAUAAGUAUAUUAUAUAUUAUAUAUAUAUAUAAAUAUAUAUAUAUAAUAUAAUAUAUAUAUAUAAAUUACCUAUACAUUAAUUAUCAUGAUAAAAACUAUAUGUACCACUCCCUUUAAUUUGAGGAGGAGUGAGGCCCACUUUUUUCUUUUUUCUUUUUUUUUUUUUUACUUUUUCUCCUUUUCUUUAGAUUUACUAGGCCUAAAGAGUUUUUUUUCUCCCUUUUCUUUACCUUUUGGUCUUCCACCCUCUCGCUUAAAUUUGCAAAUUCGAAUUUUGUUAUGUUUCAAUUCGGAGUCAAUUAUUGAUUAAAAGUGAUAUAUAUAUAAUUUAUAUAUAUAUAUAUAUAUAUAUAUAUAUAUAUAUAUAUAAUAUAAUAUAUAUAUAUAUAUUCGGUUGCCGACAGACACUUUUCCGGCAUCCGGCACCUCCGGCCACCUCCCGUUGGUGGGCACAACAUCUCUGAGCAUCUGUGCUGGUCCGUACUCCCCCAAAUUUCAGGUAUCUGUGUCCUGAACUGCUGUUUGCAUCAGUGCCCGCCAUGUGUUCGGUAAAUUGACCAUUUCUUGUUUUGGCUUUAUGGUCGAAAAUGGGAGUUCUUAGGAGCGUUGCAAUCGUGAGGAAAUUCCCUACACGAUGCUCACCUUGUUGACGUGAUUCUUACGCUCGGUGGAAGCCCGAACCUACGAUGUACUCGAAAUCGGCUCCGCGCGGCCAAUUUUCGCUCUCCGACGGUCGGCGAUCAUUUGGGUGAAUACUUUGUGGGUUCGCUGCAGCCAGAGGAGUGCUGACAAACCCCGUGAACUGCUGCUCCACUUCAGAUUGUGGAAGUUUGGUAAAUUGUUCAAAAUCUCCUUUUUAUUACUUUAUUGCGUGCUAUGUGCGGUGACAUUAUGUAUGCGGCUUUUCGACGUUUUUCACGUCGCGUAGAGUGUUGAACAGUGGUGUUUAGUAGACGUGGUUAUUCGGACUUGUGGUCCGAGGUUCUAAAACCGUAUUUAUUUUAAAAUUAGGAUACAAAAUUAAUUCGUAUUAUACCUGUACCGAAUUUUUGCCGAACCCGAAUUAACUAACUAUGGUUUAUAGUUGCAUUGUUGCUAAUGCUAGUUCAUAUUCAUACGAGCCUACUAGUAUAUAUUAUUUUUCGAACAAUAUCUGAAUAUGCAUCUGCGUCAUAUAUGAAUUCGAAAAAAUAUCCGACCAUGUCUAAAAUACUAUAUAUAAUAAAUUAAUAUAUAUUUAUAAAUAAAUAUAUAUAUAUAUAUAAAUAUAUAUAUAUAUAUAUAUAUAUAUAGGCCAUGGCUACUAUACUAUUAUGAGUAUUGGAGCGCUCGUACUCAUAAGUUGUUUUCAAUGAUGGAGCUUCCAAAUCGACAAUCCACUCCGUUAAAUAUGAUCUAGAGUAUUUGAAACUUUUAGAAAAUAACUUUCGUAAAUUUUCGAAAUCAUAAUAAAGUCCAUCAAGUGGGCAUAAAAUGAACGGUCAAAAUCGAACGACGUCCCAAACAAAGAUGAUCGGAUCCUUUAAUUCAAGAUCGGAGUUAUUGAUCUUUAUCUAUGUAGUGAAUAGAAUUUUCUAUCAAAAAUUCAACAAAUUCCGAUUCUUUUACACCGUUAAACUAGCAAGUAUCCCAUACCGGCCGUUAAAAAUUGUCAAAUUUGUGACCUCUUGAUCGUAAGAUAAAUGAUGUCGA
rnacentral:lncRNA from 1 species